UAUCGUCACUAUGAAGGGAUUCAAAUACACUGUAAUAUGUCAAUUAAUUUUUCUAAUGACAAUUAUUCUUCCCAUUCAGGGUCAACAUCGAACUUGUACCGGAUAUUUCCCUGAAUGCUAUCGCAAACCAUGGUGUUGCAAAAAUAAAAAUAAAUAAAUAGUGUCUAUGCAGAAAUAUUAUUCCACAUAAUUGCACAAAUAUAUGCAAAGAGAA